CAGCAGCCACGGUAAUACGAAGGGUGCAAGCGUUAAUCGGUAUUACUGGGCGUAAAGCGUGCGUAGGCGGUUUGUUAAGUCUGUUGUGAAAUCCCCGGGCUCGACCUGGGAAUGGCAAUGGAUACUGGCAAGCUAGAGUGUGUCAGAGGAUGGUGGAAUUCCCGGUGUAGCGGUGAAAUGCGUAGAGAUCGGGAGGAACAUCAGUGGCGAAGGCGGCCAUCUGGGACAACACUGACGCUGAGGCACGAAAGCGUGGGGAACAAACAGGAUUAGAUACCCCAGUAGUCCCUGUCUCUUAUAC
rnacentral:rRNA from 1 species